rnacentral:rRNA from 1 species
CGUUGAGGCGGUUCCGUAAGUUGGACGUUAAAGCCCCCGGCCCAACUGGGGGAGGCCGUUCAAUACUGCGGGACUUGAGGGCAGCAGAGGGGGGUGGAAUUCCCGGUGUAGUAGUGAAAUGCGUAGAUAUCGGGAGGAACACCAGUGGCGAAGGCGGCCCCCUGGGCUGUUCCUGACGCUGAAUGCGAAAGCUAGGGUAGCAAACG